CCAAGAGAUAAUGUUUCGAGUAACGCUGUUUCUCUAACUUGUAGGAAUGAAUUCAGAUAUUUCCAGAGAAUGACCACAACCUCUUCAGUAGAAGGUAAACAGAAUCUGGUGAUUAUGGGUAAGAAAACCUGGUUCUCCAUUCCUGAGAAGAAUCGACCUUUAAAGGAUAGAAUUAAUUUAGUUCUCAGCAGAGAACUCAAGGAACCUCCACAAGGAGCUCAUUUUCUUUCCAGAAGUCUAGAUGAUGCCUUAAAACUUACUGAACAACCAGAAUUAGCAAAUAAAGUAGACAUGGUCUGGAUAGUUGGUGGCAGUUCUGUUUAUAAGGAAGCCAUGAAUCACCCAGGCCAUCUUAAACUAUUUGUGACAAGGAUCAUGCAGGACUUUGAAAGUGACACAUUUUUUCCAGAAAUUGAUUUGGAGAAAUAUAAACUCCUGCCAGAAUACCCAGGUGUUCUCUCUGAUGUCCAGGAGGAGAAAGGCAUUAAGUACAAAUUUGAAGUAUAUGAGAAGAAUGAUUAAUAUGAAGGUGUUUUCUGGUUUAA
rnacentral:sRNA from 1 species